rnacentral:lncRNA from 1 species
CGGGAAGUUGAGCAGACUCCCAAGUAUUGAAGAAUUUUCUAAGGCAUGCAAAGGCUCAUCAAGUUUCAAAGCCUGUUUAUGGCGAGACCAGAUGCCAAGCGUGCCAGGAUCUGCUCGACUGUGCGAAGGCGAGCAGAAUCCCAAGCAUUGAAGAAUUUUCUAAGGCAUGCAAUGGCUUAUCAACUCUCAAAGCCUGUUUAUGGCAAGACUAGAUGCCAAGGGUGCCAGAAUCUGCUCGACCGCGCGAAGGCGAGCAGAAUCCCAAGCAUUGAAGAAUUUUCUAAGGAAUGGAAAGGCUCAUCAAGUCUCAAAACCUGUUUAUGGCGAGACCAGAUGCCAAGCGUGCCAGAAUCUGCUCGACCGCGCGAAGGCGAGCAGAAUCCCAAGCAUUGAAGAAUUUUCUAAGGCAUGCAAAGGCUCAUCAAGUUUCAAAGCCUGUUUAUGGCGAGAUCAGAUGCCAAGCGUGCCAGGAUCUGCUCGACCGUGCGAAGGCGAGCAGACUCCCAAGCAUGGAAGAAUUUUCUAAGGAAUGCAACGGCUCAUCAAGUCUCAAAGCCUGUUUAUGGCGAGACCAGAUGCCAAGCGUGCCAGAAUCUGCUCGACCGCGCGAAGGCGAGCAGAAUCCCAAGCUUUGAAGAAUUUUCUAAGGCAUGCAAAGGCUCACAAAGUCUCAAAGCCUGUUUAUGGCGAGACCAGAAGCCAAGCGUGCCAGGAUCUGCUCGACCGCGGGAAGUUGAGCAAACUCCCAAGUAUUGAAGAAUUUUCUAAGGCAUGCAAAGGCUCAUCAAGUUUCAAAGCCUGUUUAUGGCGAGACCCGAUGCCAAGCGUGCCAGGAUCUACUCGACCGUGCGAAGGCGAGCAGAAUCCCAAGCAUUGAAGAAUUUUCUAAGGAAUGGAAAGGCUCAUCAAGUCUCAAAGCCUGUUUAUGGCAAGACUAGAUGCCAAGGGUGCCAGAAUCUGCUCGACCGCGCGAAGGCAAGCAGAAUCCCAAGCAUUGAAGAAUUUUCUAAGGCAUACAAAGCCUCAUCAAGUCUCAAAGCCUGUUUAUGGCGAGAGCAGAAGCCAAGCGUUCCAGGAUCUGCUCGACCGCGCGAAGGCGAGCAGAAUCCCAAUUAUUGAAGAAUUUUCUAAGGCAUGCAAAGGCUCAUCAAGUUUGAAAGCCUGUUUAUGGCGAGACCAGAUGCCAAGCGUGCCAGGAUAUGCUCGACCGUGUGAAGGCGAGCAGACUCCCAAGCAUUGAAGAAUUUUCUAAGGCAUGCAAAGGCUCAUCAAAUCUCAAAGCCUGUUUAUGGCGAGACCAGAUGCCAAGCGUGCCAGAAUUUGCUCGACCGCGGGAAGGCGAGCAGAAUCCCAAGCAUUGAAGAAUUUUCUAAGGCAUGCAAAGGCACAUCAAGUCUCAAAGCCUGUUUAUGGCGAGACCAGAUGCCAAACGUGCCAGGAUCUGCUCGACCGCGCGAAGUUGAGCAGAAUCUCAAGUAUUGAAGAAUUUUCUAAGGCAGGCAAAGGCUCAUUAAGUUUCAAAGCCUGUUUAUGGUGAGACCAGAUGCCAAGCGUGCCAGGAUCUGCUCGACCGUGCGAAGGCGAGCAGACUCCCAAGCAUGGAAGAAUUUUCUAAGGCAUGCAAAGGCUCAUCAAGUCUCAAAGCCUUUUUAUGGCGAGACCAGAUGCCAAGCGUGCCAGAAUCUGCUCGACCGCGCGAAAGCGAGCAGAAUCUGCUCGACCGCGCGAAAGCGAGCAGAAUCCCAAGCAUUGAUGAAUUUUCUAAGGCAUGCAAAAGCUCAAGAUGUCUCAAAGCCUGUUUAUGGCGAGACCAGAAGCCAAGCGUGCCAGGAUCUGCUCGACCGCGCGAAGUUGAGCAGAAUCCCAAGUAUUGAAGAAUUUUCUAAGGCGUGCAAAGGCUCAUUAAGUUUCAAAGCCUGUUUAUGGCGAGACCAGAUGCCAAGCGAGCCAGAAUCUGCUCGACCGCGCGAAGGCGAGCAGAAUCCCAAGCAUUGAAGAAUUUUCUAAGGCAUGCAAUGGCUUAUCAAGUCUCAAAGCCUGUUUAUGGCAAGACCAGAUGCCAAGGGCGCCAGAAUAUGCUCGACCGUGCGAAGGCGAGCAGAAUCCCAAGCAUUGAAGAAUUUUCUAAGGAAUGCAAAGGCUCAUAAAGUAUCAAAGCCUGUUUAUGGCGAGACCAGAAGCCAAGCGUGCCAGAAUCUGCUCGACCGGGCGAAGGCGAGCAGAAUCCCAAGCAUUGAAGAAUUUUCUAAGGCAUGCAAAGGCUCACGAAGUCUCAAAGCCUGUUUAUGGCGAGACCAGAAGCCAAGGGUGCCAGAAUCUGCUCGACCGUGCGAAGGCGAGCAGAAUCCCAAGCAUUGAAGAAUUUUCUAAGGCAUGCAAAGGCUCAUCAAGUCUCAAAACCUGUUUAUGGCGAGACCAGAUGUCAAGCGUGCCAGGAUCUGCUCGACCGCGCGAAGGCGAGCAGAAUCCCAAUUAUUGAAGAAUUUUCUAAGGCAUGCAAAGGCUCAUCAAGUUUCAAAGCCUGUUUAUGGCGAGACCAGAUGACAAGCGUGCCAGGAUAUGCUCGACCGUGUGAAGGCGAGCAGACUCCCAAGCAUUGAAGAAUUUUCUAAGGCAUGCAAAGGCUCAUCAAAUCUCAAAGCCUGUUUAUGGCGAGACCAGAUGCCAAGCGUGCCAGAAUUUGCUCGACCGCGGGAAGGCGAGCAGAAUCCCAAGCAUUGAAGAAUUUUCUAAGGCAUGCAAAGGCACAUCAAGUCUCAAAGCCUGUUUAUGGCGAGACCAGAUGCCAAACGUGCCAGGAUCUGCUCGACCGCGCGAAGUUGAGCAGAAUCUCAAGUAUUGAAGAAUUUUCUAAGGCAGGCAAAGGCUCAUUAAGUUUCAAAGCCUGUUUAUGGUGAGACCAGAUGCCAAGCGUGCCAGGAUCUGCUCGACCGUGCGAAGGCGAGCAGACUCCCAAGCAUGGAAGAAUUUUCUAAGGCAUGCAAAGGCUCAUCAAGUCUCAAAGCCUUUUUAUGGCGAGACCAGAUGCCAAGCGUGCCAGAAUCUGCUCGACCGCGCGAAAGCGAGCAGAAUCUGCUCGACCGCGCGAAAGCGAGCAGAAUCCCAAGCAUUGAUGAAUUUUCUAAGGCAUGCAAAAGCUCAAGAUGUCUCAAAGCCUGUUUAUGGUGAGACUAGAUGCCAAGCGUGCCAGGAUCUGCUCGACCGUGCGAAGGCGAGCAGAAUCCCAAGCAUUGAAGAAUUUUCUAAGGCAUGCAAAGGGUCAUAAACUGUCAAAGCCUAUUUAUGGCAAGACCAUAUGCCAAGGGUGCCAGAAUCUACUCGACCGCGCGAAGGCGAGCAGAAUCCCAAGCAUUGAAGAAUUUUCUAAGGCAUGCAAUGGCUUAUCAAGUCUCAAAGCCUGUUUAUGGCAAGACCAGAUGCCAAGGGCGCCAGAAUAUGCUCGACCGUGCGAAGGCGAGCAGAAUCCCAAGCAUUGAAGAAUUUUCUAAGGAAUGCAAAGGCUCAUCAAGUCUCAAAGCCUGUUUAUGGCAAGACUAGAGGCCAAGGGUGCCAGAAUCUGCUCGACCGUGCGAAGGCAAGCAGAAUCCCAAGCAUUGAAGAAUUUUCUAAGGAAUGCAAAGGCUCAUCAAGUCUCAAAGCCUGUUUAUGGCGAGACCAGAAGCCAAGCGUGCCAGAAUCUGCUCGACCGCGCGAAGGCGAGCCGAAUCCCAAGCAUUGAAGAAUUUUCUAAGGCAUGCAAAGGCUCACGAAGUCUCAAAGCCUGUUUAUGGCGAGACCAGAAGCCAAGGGUGCCAGAAUCUGCUCGACCGUGCGAAGGCGAGCAGAAUCCCAAGCAUUAAAGUAUUUUCUAAGGCAUGCAAAGGCUCAUCAAGUCUCAAAACCUGUUUAUGGCGAGACCAGAUGUCAAGCGUGCCAGGAUCUGCUCGACUGUGCGAAGGCGAGCAGAAUCCCAAGCAUUGAAGAAUUUUCUAAGGCAUGCAAUGGCUUAUCAAGUCUCAAAGCCUGUUUAUGGCAAGACUAGAUGCCAAGGGUGCCAGAAUCUGCUCGACCGCGGGAAGGCGAGCAGAAUCCCAAGCAUUGAAGAAUUUUCUAAGGCAUGCAAAGGCACGUCAAGUCUCAAAGCCUGUUUAUGGCGAGACCAGAUGCCAAACGUGCCAGGAUCUGCUCGACCGCGNNNNNNNNNNNNNNNNNNNNNNNNNNNNNNNNNNNNNNNNNNNNNNNNNNNNNNNNNNNNNNNNNNNNNNNNNNNNNNNNNNNNNNNNNNNNNNNNNNNNNNNNNNNNNNNNNNNNCCGCGCGAAGGCGAGCAGAAUCCUAAGCAUUGAUGAAUUUUCUAAGGCAUGCAAAAGCUCACGAUGUCUCAAAGCCUGUUUAUCGCGAGACCAGAAGCCAAGCGUGCCAGGAUCUGCUCGACCGCGCGAAGUUGAGCAGAAUCCCAAGUAUUGAAGAAUUUUCUAAGGCAUGCAAAGGCUCUUUAAGUUUCAAAGCCUGUUUAUGGCGAGACCAGAUGCCAAACGAGCCAGGAUCUGCUCGACCGUGCGAAGGCGAGCAGAAUCCCAAGCAUUGAAGAAUUUUCUAAGGCAUGCAAAGGCUGAUAAACUGUCAAAGCCUAUUUAUGGCAAGACCAGAUGCCAAGGGUGCCAGAAUCUGCUAGACCGCGCGAAGGCGAGCAGAAUCCCAAGCAUUGAAGAAUUUUCUAAGGAAUGGAAAGGCUCAUCAAGUCUCAAAGCCUGUUUAUGGCGAGACCAGAUGCCAAGCGUGCCAGAAUCUGCUCGACCGCGCGAAGGCGAGCAGAAUCCCAAGCAUUGAAGAAUUUUCUAAGGAAUGGAAAGGCUCAUCAAGUCUCAAAGCCUGUUUAUGGCGAGACCAGAUGCCAAGCUAGCCAGGAUCUGCUCGACCGUGCGAAGGCAAGCAGAAUCCCAAGCAUUGAAGAAUUUUCUAAGGAAUGGAAAGGCUCAUCAAGUCUCAAAAGCCUGUUUAUGGCGAGACCAGAUGCCAAGCGUGCCAGAAUCUGCUCGACCGCGCGAAGGCGAGCAGAAUCCCAAGCAUUGAAGAAUUUUCUAAGGCAUGCAAAGGCUCAUCAAGUUUCAAAGCCUGUUUAUGGCGAGACCAGAUGCCAAGCGUGCCAGGAUCUACUCGACCGUGCGAAGGCGAGCAGAAUCUCAAGCAUUGAAGAAUUUUCUAAGGCAUGCAAAGGCUCAUAAACUGUCAAAGCCUAUUUAUGGCAAGACCAGAUGCCAAGGGUGCCAGAAUCUACUCGACCGCGCGAAGGCGAGCAGAAUCCCAAGCAUUGAAAAAUUUUCUAAGGAAUGGAAAGGCUCAUCAAGUCUCAAAGCCUGUUUAUGGCGAGACCAGAUGCCAAGCGUGCCAGAAUCUGCUCGACCGCGCGAAGGCGAGCAGAAUCCCAAGCAUUGAAGAAUUUUCUAAGGCAUGCAAAGGCUCACGAAGUCUCAAAGCCUGUUUAUGGCGAGACCAGAAGCCAAGCGUGCCAGGAUCUGCUCGACCGCGGGAAGUUGAGCAGACUCCCAAGUAUUGAAGAAUUUUCUAAGGCAUGCAAAGGCUCAUCAAGUUUCAAAGCCUGUUUAUGGCGAGACCAGAUGCCAAGCGUGCCAGGAUCUGCUCGACCGCGCGAAGGCGAGCAUAAUCCCAAGCAUUGAUGAAUUUUCUAAGGCAUGCAAAGGCUCACGAUGUCUCAAAGCCUGUUUAUGGCGAGACCAGAAGCCAAGCGUGCCAGGAUCUGCUCGACCGCGCGAAGGCGAGCAGAAUCCCAAGCAUUGAAGAAUUUUCUAAGGCAUGCAAAGGCUCAUCAAGUCUCAAAACCUGUUUAUGGCGAGACCAGAUGUCAAGCGUGCCAGGAUCUGCUCGACUGUGCGAAGGCGAGCAGAAUCCCAAGCAUUGAAGAAUUUUCUAAGGCAUGAAUGGCUUAUCAAGUCUCAAAGCCUGUUUAUGGCAAGACUAGAUGCCAAGGGUGCCAGAAUCUGCUCGACCGCGGGAAGGCGAGCAGAAUCCCAAGCAUUGAAGAAUUUUCUAAGGCAUGCA